UAUGGGAUUUAUCCGAUCAAGAUAAUGAUAGCAUGCUCUCCUUGAGGGAGUUCUGUAUUGCUGUUUACCUAAUGGAGCGUUACAGAGAAGGCCGACCUCUUCCCCCAGUGUUCCCAAGCACUAUAAUAUCUAGUGAGAGCAUGUUUACCUCUCCUGGUCAAUCUGUGGCACCACAUGGCAAUGCAUCCUGGGGACAUCCACAUGGUAUUGCAUCACACCAACCUAUUUCUGUAUUACUUCCAUUAUUAUUCUGAAGUAGGCAGAUUCAUUCUUGGACCAAAUAUUGUAGGUCAAGUUCAUGGGGGCUCGAGGCCACCAGCAAUUCCCAAAGGAAAGCCUCCAAGGCCGGUUCCUCUCUCUCCUAGUGAUGGAUUGGUCCAGCCCACUCAGCCAAAGCGUAAAAUGCCUGAGUUGGAAAAACAUCUGGUGGAUCAACUUAGCAAAGAGGAACAAGAUGCACUCAACUCGAAAUUUGAAGAAGCUACUGCUGUUGAUAAAAAGGCACUCUCUGAUUUCUCUCUGAUUUUAAUGUGCUAAUGUGGUGAAUUUAUUUGGUUAGCGUGAGACACUUUUCUUCAUAUGGGAAGGUCACUAAUAUGAUUAAUUGUAGAUUUUGGUAGUCAUAUUCCAGAUUCUAAGUUUCCAAGUCCUUUAUGAAUGGAAUAAACAAACAGCCUCUGAGAACUAUGCAUAGUUCUUAUUUUACUUCUAAACCUGUUUGAAGACAAUUUUCGGAGAUGUGUUUUCAGUUUCUUCCACGCAGCCAAAACAACAUACUACUGGAACUAAGUCGACAAUGGGCAUCUCAUCUGUUUCUACUGGAACUGUUGUGGCUCCCGAAGUUGCACAGUCUGUAGCUAGGCAACGUUCAAUCCCACAGCAUGGUUCAUUGAGCCAGCAUCCUGUUGGUGUUCAGAAUCAGCUUACUGGAAAUUUAGGGCAGUCAUUUGUUCCCGCCGGUGCAACUUCUGGUACAACUGGCUCUACUGUUGGAGUUGGGAUUUCAGCUUCCUGUCAGUUGACCCAGCGUCAGUCUCAGCCACCCCAGCCCCAACCUCAACACCAACCGCAGCCCCAACCUCGCCACCAACCCCAUCCCCAGCCCCAACCUCAGCAUCAUCCCCGGCCCCAACCCCACCACCAACCCCAGCCCCGAACCCAACACCAACCCCACUACCAGCACCAAGCCCCUUGGCCGAAAAUGAGUCCAGUUGAUGUCCAGAAAUAUACCAAGGUUUUUGUGCAAGUUGAUACAGAUAGGGACGGAAAGAUCACCGGGCACCAGGCUCGGAAUCUGUUCUUAAGUUGGAAGCUCCCGCGAGGUAGGCUACAUUUACUUUUUUGCUGCUUCAUCCGUUAAGCACUAGUUUAGUUUCAGUUUGAGCUUGUUUUUAUAAUGGUAAACAUGCAUGAUAAUUAAGUGGCACUUCUCUAGUUAUGUAUAUUUGUUUGUAUAACACUGAUCAACUACCAUUGUAGGUGCAUCUUUAGUUUUCUUGUUUUGUUCCAUGUUUUGGCUAUAAGUGGAAAAUUAUAUUUAUGUUGUUUCGAGCAGAAAUUGUUAUACUUUACCUGGGGAGUAUAGACCGUUUAAUGUGUGUUUUCAAUGUUGUUUCUUGGUAUUACAGAGGCUUUGAAGCAGGUAUGGGAUUUAUCCGAUCAAGAUAAUGAUAGCAUGCUCUCCUUGAGGGAGUUCUGUAUUGCUGUUUACCUAAUGGAGCGUUACAGAGAAGGCCGACCUCUUCCCCCAGUGUUCCCAAGCACUAUAAUAUCUAGUGAGAGCAUGUUUACCUCUCCUGGUCAAUCUGUGGCACCACAUGGCAAUGCAUCCUGGGGACAUCCACAUG
rnacentral:lncRNA from 1 species